rnacentral:rRNA from 1 species
GCAAGAAGACCCUAAGAAUUUUAAAAAUAGUAAUUUUUAGUUUCAAAGAAUGCUAUUUUUUAGUUGGGGCAACUAAGAAAUAUUAUAAACUUUUUUAAAAUAAAAUGAUCCAUUAUUAAUGAUUAUUUGAAAAAAUACUCUAGGGAUAACAGCGUAAUAAUUUUUGAUAGAACAUAUAGACAAAAUAGUUUGCGACCUCGAUGUUGGAUUAGGAUACUUUUUUAAUGAAGAUGUUAAAAAAAGAAGUUUGUUCAACUUUUAAAGUCCUACUUGAUCUGAGU